GUCUAAAAAGUUUUGUGAAUGGAGAAUUGUAAAUUCUUAGGGAAAUUUGGAUA
rnacentral:tRNA from 1 species